rnacentral:rRNA from 1 species
UACGGAGGGCGCAAGCGUUAAUCGGAAUUACUGGGCGUAAAGCGUGCGCAGGCGGCUUUGCAAGACCGAUGUGAAAUCCCCGGGCUCAACCUGGGAACUGCAUGUGUGACUGCAUCGCUGGAGCGCGGCAGAGGCGGAUGGAAUUCCGCGUGUAGCAGUGAAAUGCGUAGAUAUGCUCAGGAACACCGAUGGCGAAGGCAGCUCCCUGGGCGUGCGCUGACGCUGAUGCACGAAAGCGUGGGGAGCAAACGGG